AUUGAACGCUGGCGGCAUGCUUAAACACAUGCAAGUCGAACGGUAGCAGGCCCAGCACCUUGUGUAUUGGGAGGUUGAGCGACCUUGAGGGGGUGGUUCGGGAGUGUGCAAGGUGCUGGGUGCUGACGAGUGGCGGACGGGUGAGUAACGCGUAGGAAUCUGCCCGGUCGUGGGGGACAACUCGGGGAAACUCGAGCUAAUACCGCAUACGCCCCGAAGGGGGAAAGCGGGGGAUCUUCGGACCNCGCGCGAUCGGAUGAGCCUGCGUUGGAUUAGCUGGGUUGGGUGGGGGUAAAGGCCUACCAAGGCGACGAUCCAUAGCUGGUCUGAGAGGACGACCAG
rnacentral:rRNA from 1 species